UACAGAGGUGGCAAGCGUUGUUCGGAAUUACUGGGCGUAAAGCGCGCGUAGGCGGUUUUGCAAGUCGAGUGUGAAAGCCCCGGGCUCAACCUGGGAACUGCAUUCGAGACUGCAUUACUGGAGUAUGGGAGAGGGCAGUGGAAUUUCCGGUGUAGCGGUGAAAUGCGUAGAUAUCGGAAGGAACAUCAGUGGCGAAAGCGACUGCCUGGCCCAAUACUGACGCUCAUGUGCGAAAGCGUGGGGAGCAAACAGG
rnacentral:rRNA from 1 species